GACGAACGCUGGCGGCGUGCCUAAUACAUGCAAGUAGAACGCUGAAGGAGGAGCUUGCUCCUCUGGAUGAGUUGCGAACGGGUGAGUAACGCGUAGGUAACCUGCCUGGUAGCGGGGGAUAACUAUUGGAAACGAUAGCUAAUACCGCAUAAUAGUAGAUGUUGCAUGAUAUUUACUUAAAAGGUGCAAUUGCACCACUACCAGAUGGACCUGCGUUGUAUUAGCUAGUUGGUGGGGUAACGGCUCACCAAGGCGACGAUACAUAGCCGACCUGAGGGGGGGAUCGGCCACACUGGGACUGAGACACGGCCCAGACUCCUACGGGAGGCAGCAGUAGGGAAUCUUCGGCAAUGGACGAAAGUCUGACCGAGCAACGCCGCGUGAGUGAAGAAGGUUUUCGGAUCGUAAAGCUCUGUUGUAAGAGAAGAACGAGUGUGAGAGUGGAAAGUUCACACUGUGACGGUAUCUUACCAGAAAGGGACGGCUAACUACGUG
rnacentral:rRNA from 1 species